rnacentral:lncRNA from 1 species
AAAAAUAAACAUUUCACCUUCUACACCUGUUAGACUGAAAAACACAACUUUACGUCAGAAGAAAUGACUUCAGCUCUACAUUAGGGAACUUUCCAUUUAUAUGUAGCAACAUUCCAGCCGUCUCUACUACGGAGAAUUUAUGUUCUAAUAUUCAAGGGCUUGAAUUUCCUAUGAUGAUUUCCUUGAUAGAGGGUUUUCACUCACAAGUAAGCUAUAAAACAAAUGGUGCAGUUGAAAUCAUUCUUUCAUAAAUUUUACAGACGCCAUCACGAGUUGACUUACAUGAAAUAUCUGUUUCACAGAUGAUAGCGGAUUUGUUCCUAAUAUCGUAAUUACAAUCCUAUCCCCUUUUUACGUAUAAGAACUACCAAAUUAGAGUUAUUACCGAGUUUGUACUAACAUUAUCAGCCUGACAGGUGCCACAUGUGGAGCAGGAUAUGCUUGCCCUUCCAAAUCGUGUAGCUUAUUCUUUAAUAUUCUAUAUUGUGUCUUUGUGCUAUUGUUUGUCUAUUGGUCUUUUUUU